rnacentral:rRNA from 1 species
CCUACGGGUGGCAGCAGUGAGGAAUAUUGGUCAAUGGACGGAAGUCUGAACCAGCCAUGCCGCGUGCAAGAAGACGGCUCUAUGAGUUGUAAACUGCUUUUGUACAAGGGUAAACCUGAAUACGUGUAUUCAGCUGAAAGUACUUUACGAAUAAGGAUCGGCUAACUCCGUGCCAGCAGCCGCGGUAAUACGGAGGAUCCAAGCGUUAUCCGGAUUUAUUGGGUUUAAAGGGUGCGUAGGCGGGUUGAUAAGUUAGAGGUGAAAUGUCCGGGCUUAACUCGGGAACUGCCUCUAAUACUGGUGGUCUAGAGAGUAGAUGAGGGAGGCGGAAUGUAUGGUGUAGCGGUGAAAUGCUUAGAGAUCAUACAGAACACCGAUUGCGAAGGCAGCUUACCAAUCUAUAUCUGACGUUGAGGCACGAAAGCGUGGGGAGCAAACAGGAUUAGAUACCCGAGUAGUC